CUUCAUGACUGGGGUGAAGUCGUAACAAGGUAACCGUAGGGGAACCUGCGGUUGGAUCACCUCCUUA
rnacentral:rRNA from 1 species